UUUCAUGUCUUUUGUAUUAAAGAAUUAAAUGGAUGAAAUAUGAAGUUUUAUUAAAAGAAAAAGGGGUGAAAAGAACAAAGUUUUGUCCAUCUUUGUUUAUCAUAGCUGAAAGUUAGAGAAGAGAAAGGAGAGGAGAAAGCUCUUGAGUAUUUGGUCAUUAGGAGGAGGAAAAUUGAAGGCAGUUCGUGUGUGGAUCUCGUCAGUAUAUCGUUGCAAACAGGUAAUCCCCAACCAUAGUGGGCUUGGAGCUGUGAGGGAAUUCGGAGUGGCCACCCGUUCUGAAAGUUUGAUUUUC